AAUGCAUUUGGUAGUUGAAAUGUACAUUUCUUUCACCCCUUCUAUAUUGACUUCAGUUUUAAAAGGUCUGGAAUUUUACAUAAUCAUUACAAUCCAUUAAAUGUCUUUAAAUAAGGCAACGCUCAUUACAAGGUACCACAAUGCAAUUCAUUAUGAAUUAACGUUUGUGUGGCACCGCCCAAUGAAAAAUUUAAGUUUAAAAAAAAAUCUAGUUUUCCAUCGUGAAAACCAGCUCGCAGUCCCCGUUUCACUUUGAACACAUUAUUAUAUAUAUAGUUUAGGCAUGCGUACAAACCACUGUUGUGUCUUUUAAACUGUCAAAUAAAAUAUCUUGUCUAGGAAGGAAAGGAAAGAGAACUUUUGAAAACUCAAAUCCCAUGAGGUAUAUACUAGAAGACUGUGUGCAGACAAUAUAUUUCUUAAAAUCCCCAAUAUGCCAUUUUAGUGACAAUGGCAGAAGUAAGGCAAUAUUUUAACAGAAGUCUUUUGAAGAAAUAAAACUUCUCAGUGAUGCAUGUGAGGAACUUAAAUUCAGUGCUCUUCAUCCAAAACAAACUGGUUUUAAAAGUGCAUGUGGUUAUUUUGACAAUGUUGACAUCUGAUCGGACGUGUGUUCUGAUGCAUCACAGGCAUGUUACAGCGUACUUUAUGAAAAUGUAUUUUAAAUCAGAUCAGAAAAGACAAAAAAAUACAAUUUUGAAAGUCUGAUGUUUUAGCAUCUGCCACCCCAUAUUCCAUUUGUAUUCUUUGGUGUAAAGUAAUGCAUGGUUGAAAUUAAGGCGAUCUUGUUUUAAAUAGUAUAAUAGCAGUAUUAAAUAAAAUGUUCAUUACCUACAGUCUGCCCAAUUCUCAAAUCCAAUGUGUGUCAAAGGAAAAUGAAAUGAGGAAACUUAAUCCGAAAAAUGACAUUCCUGAUUUAAAUUAGAAUGAAGUCUCUUCAUCAGAUUCGCUAAUUUUAAAUAACACAUCAUGCUCUCAUAUAAAUAUAAUAGAUUUACAGUGUAACAUACUUAUAAUGCAUCAUCAUGGGGCACGCAAGUUACAAUCCAAUUUCUUGUGUUAUGCAGUUCUUAUGGUGUGAAAGAGAAAUGCUCAACAUGGCAUACAUCAAGCAGUUUAAAAGCUCCUUAAUUGUUAAAGCAUUGUUUUAAAAUGAAUACUUUCUAUAUGUGCUUAGUAUGUGAGGGUGAGAUGAGUGCUCCCAGUGAGAUCAAUUGGUAUAUCCUGGCUAGCCAUGUAAGCAUUGAAUGGAAAGCUGGUACCCUGCAGCAUUAUCUGAUGCCUUGUUUCUAUUUCAGUUGUGUAAGCCUCGUUCAGUGCAGCCUAAAAAAAAAAA